rnacentral:rRNA from 1 species
GCGUCGACGGGUAGCCGGCCUGAGAGGGCGACCGGCCACACUGGGACUGAGACACGGCCCAGACUCCUACGGGAGGCAGCAGUGGGGAAUAUUGCGCAAUGGGCGAAAGCCUGACGCAGCAACGCCGCGUGAGGGAUGACGGCCUUCGGGUUGUAAACCUCUUUCAGCAGGGACGAAGCGAGAGUGACGGUACCUGCAGAAGAAGGACCGGCCAACUACGUGCCAGCAGCCGCGGUAAUACGUAGGGUCCGAGCGUUGUCCGGAAUUAUUGGGCGUAAAGGGCUCGUAGGCGGUUCGUCACGUCGGGAGUGAAAACUCGGAGCUUAACUCCGAGCCUGCUUCCGAUACGGGCAGACUAGAGGUAGGCAGGGGAGAGCGGAACUCCUGGUGUAGCGGUGGAAUGCGCAGAUAUCAGGAAGAACACCGGUGGCGAAGGCGGCUCUCUGGGCCUUACCUGACGCUGAGGAGCGAAAGCGUGGGUAGCGAACAGGAUUAGAUACCCUGGUAGUCCACGCCGUAAACGUUGGGCGCUAGGUGUGGGGGACAUUCCACGUCCUCCGUGCCGCAACUACGCAUUAAGCGCCCGC